rnacentral:rRNA from 1 species
GAUGAACGCUGGCGGCGUGCCUAAUACAUGCAAGUCGAGCGAACAGACGAGGAGCUUGCUCCUCUGAUGUUAGCGGCGGACGGGUGAGUAACACGUGGAUAACCUACCUAUAAGACUGGGAUAACUUCGGGAAACCGGAGCUAAUACCGGAUAACAUGUUGAACCGCAUGGUUCAACAGUGAAAGACGGUCUUGCUGUCACUUAUAGAUGGAUCCGCGCCGCAUUAGCUAGUUGGUAAGGUAACGGCUUACCAAGGCAACGAUGCGUAGCCGACCUGAGAGGGUGAUCGGCGACACUGGAACUGAGACACGGUCAAGACUACUACGGGAGGCAGCAGUAGGGAAUCUUCCGCAAUGGGCGAAAGCAUGACGGAGCAACGCCGCGUGAGUGAAGAAGGUCUUCGGAUCGUAAAACCCUGUUAUUAGGGAAGAACAAAUGUGUAAGUAACUGUGCACGUCUUGACGGUACCUAAUCAGAAAGCCACGGCUAACUACGUG